rnacentral:rRNA from 1 species
UACGUAGGGACCAAGCGUUGUUCGGAUUUACUGGGCGUAAAGGGCGCGUAGGCGGCUUGACAAGUCACUUGUGAAAUCUCCGGGCUUAACUCGGAACGGCCAAGUGAAACUGUCAUGCUAGAGUGCAGAAGGGGCAAUCGGAAUUCUUGGUGUAGCGGUGAAAUGCGUAGAUAUCGUAAGGAAGACCAGUGGCGAAGGCGGGUCUCUGGGCCAACACUGACGCUGAGGCGCGAAAGCUAGGGGAGCAAACAGG